GAUAUCUAGCAGGGAAGGACCAUGUCACCUCUGUACCUGGGGCUGGAGAGAUGGCCAGAGGUUGAGUGUUUGCUCUUCCUGAGAGGAGUCUAAUUUGGUUCCCUGCGCACACAUGGAGUGGCUCACAAUUGCCACUUUAGGGGAUGAUGGAGAACCUGAGGGUGAAUCAAUCAAAGCUAGCAGUUGCGCGCUGCAGAUCCUGAGAAAGAUCUCCUGCAAACGAAAGCAGGAUGCCAAUUCUUCUUGUGGCCCGGCUCCCGUCAGCCCUGGUGACAGAACCCACUUCUCACUAAGCUUUGCUGAGGAGCCUCCUGGGCACUGGGCUGCAUGGCGGCUGAGUCGGCUGAACGCUGAAUUGUCACCCUGUGUGUCUCACGGAAGACGCGUGUUUGCCGACCGUGGGAAUGGCCUGAGCUUGGAGAAGCAUCUUCCGCUUCCCACCUCUGUCUCACUGACUCCAGGAGUCUCAUCCGCCUCCCCUCCCUGGCAGGAAGCCUUCUUUAGUCUCAUCUGUUCCUGAUGCGGUUUCUGUGGUUUCCAAAGAGAGCAGAAAUGCCCAGC
rnacentral:lncRNA from 1 species